GAUGUUAUAGCUCCUGUCUGAAGAGAUGCAGUGCAACUGGGACUCAGACUAAAACAUCACUGAACAUGAGGCCUCCGAAAUCUCACGAAGUAUAAAACCAGAGUAACUGCCAAGCUUCUGGGGUGAGAAUCACACUGUUCCUCCAGUUUCACAAUGUCCAUGAUUCUUUGGGAAUCACAGAGUGCAACACUGAGUGCUUGAAGAACGCUAAAAGAAAAUAUUUACGUUAUUGUUUGUUGCUCUUGGUGCUAUAUUCUGCUUUCUGUCACAAAUUGCCUGCUUCCAGAUAAAAAAAAGUGAGUUGGGCAGCUGUCUCCAUGGAGUCACGUGGGUCCCUUUUGCUCAGCUAGCAGUAAGAGUGAAGGAGCAUUAGGAACUGUGAAGAAUCACUCCACUGCCGACAAGUUCUCUUUCAUCUUCCUGCCUUCAUUCAUCUCAGUGUCAUAUUUUGUUUUUAGGAUGUAGGUGAGAUCUUUUUAAACAAGAAGUUGAAUCUGGUACUUCAGAAUCACUGUGAUUAGAGAACUUGCUACCAUGAUGGCUGUAGUCUGUUAUAAAUUGCUUUGUCCAGAGGAAGAAUGUAACUUUUAUGUGGAUAAUUCAUGUGAAAACUAAGUUUUGUGUUUUCUUGGAUUUGGUUUGGGUUUUGGUGGUUUCUUUAAGAUCUCUGGUAUACGACUGUUGUUCAAACCAAUUUAGAACAGUAAGAACAUUAUCAAAGAAAUUACCUGAAUGUUAGCGCUCUCUUUGUGUUUUGCUUCUCUCUACGGUUACCUAUGGUUCUGUUAUGGCACAAAUAGGUUUUGUAUCUUUAAAGUCUGGUUUUAUUAAAGAAAGUAUUUCCUUCUGUGGGAGAAAAAGAAAUGCUUCCUUCUCCUGAUAUCUUGGCAGUGUGUAUUCUCUGCCUGUCUCCUUCUCACUGACAAUCAUCCUUGCUCUUCAACAUGGCUAUUUUGGUUCUGCUGAGGUUGCCUUUUUCAAAUAACUGAUGUACAAAUAAUGCAAAACAGACUUGCUUUGUUUAGUUUGCUUUGGGAAAGCCUGGAAUAUAUUCAAAGGAAAAUGUUGCAAAAUAAAUUCCCUGUUAUCAUU
rnacentral:lncRNA from 7 species